GGGGAAUAUUGGACAAUGGGCGAAAGCCUGAUCCAGCCAUGCCGCGUGUGUGAAGAAGGUCUUCGGAUUGUAAAGCACUUUAAGUUGGGAGGAAGGGCAGUAAGUUAAUACCUUGCUGUUUUGACGUUACCAACAGAAUAAGCACCGGCUAACUUCGUGCCAGCAGCCGCGGUAAUACGAAGGGUGCAAGCGUUAAUCGGAAUUACUGGGCGUAAAGCGCGCGUAGGUGGUUUGUUAAGUUGGAUGUGAAAGCCCCGGGCUCAACCUGGGAACUGCAUCCAAAACUGGCAAGCUAGAGUACGGUAGAGGGUGGUGGAAUUUCCUGUGUAGCGGUGAAAUGCGUAGAUAUAGGAAGGAACACCAGUGGCGAAGGCGACACCUGGACUGAUACUGACACUGAGGUGCGAAAGCGUGGGGAGCAAACAG
rnacentral:rRNA from 1 species